AUUGAACGCUGGCGGCAUGCCUUACACAUGCAAGUCGAACGGCAGCACGGGAGCAAUCCUGGUGGCGAGUGGCGAACGGGUGAGUAAUAUAUCGGAACGUGCCCAGUCGUGGGGGAUAACGUAGCGAAAGCUACGCUAAUACCGCAUACGAUCUAUGGAUGAAAGCGGGGGGAUCGCAAGACCUCGCGCGAUUGGAGCGGCCGAUAUCAGAUUAGGUAGUUGGUGAGGUAAAGGCUCACCAAGCCGACGAUCUGUAGCUGGUCUGAGAGGACGGACCAGCCACACUGGGACUGAGACACGGCCCAGACUCCUACGGGAGGCAGCAGUGGGGAAUUUUUGGACAAUGGGCGCAAGCCUGAUCCAGCAAUGCCGCGUGCAGGAUGAAGGCC
rnacentral:rRNA from 1 species